rnacentral:rRNA from 1 species
AACGAACGCUGGCGGCGUGGAUAAGACAUGCAAGUCGAACGUGACAAGGUGGUAGCAAUAUCACUUUGUUAAGUGGCGAACGGGUGCGUAACACGUGGGUAACAUGCCGGGAAGAGGAAAAUAGCCCAGGGAAACUUGGAUUAAUGUUCCAUAAUGUUGAAAAACUAAAGAUGGGGUAACCUGUCGCUUCCUGAUUGGCCCGCGGCCUAUCAGCUUGUUGGUGAGGUAAUGGCUCACCAAGGCUACGACGGGUAGCUGGUCUGAGAGGACGACCAGCCACACUGGAACUGAGACACGGUCCAGACACCUACGGGUGGCAGCAGUCGAGAAUCUUUCACAAUGGGGGAAACCCUGAUGGAGUGACGCCGCGUGGAGGAUAAGGUCUUCGGAUUGUAAACUCCUGUCAUGUGUGAACAAGUGUGCGCGGGCUAACUCCCGUGCACUUGAUAGUAUCACAAGAGGAAGAGACGGCUAACUCUGUGCCAGCCGCCGCGGUAAGAC